GAUCAUGGCUCAGGAUGAACGCUAGCUACAGGCUUAACACAUGCAAGUCGAGGGGCAGCGGGGAGUAGCAAUACUCUGCCGGCGACCGGCGCACGGGUGAGUAACGCGUAUGCAACCUGCCCUGUACAGGGGGAUAGCCCAUGGAAACGUGGAUUAAUAUCCCAUAGUAAUCAUGAUAGGCAUCUAUUUUGAUUUAAAUCUUCGGAGGUACAGGAUGGGCAUGCGU
rnacentral:rRNA from 1 species